rnacentral:rRNA from 1 species
AGAGUUUGAUCCUGGCUCAGGACGAACGCUGGCGGCGUGCCUAACACAUGCAAGUUGAGCGACGAACCAGGGCUUGCCCUGGGGCAAAGCAGCGAACGGGUGAGUAACACGUGGAUAACGUACCCCGAUAACCGGGACAACUCGAGGAAACUCGAGCUAAUACCGGAUGUGCCCAGCACACAUCAGUGUGUUGUGUAAAGGAAGCUUCGGCCUCCGUAUCGGGAGCGGUCCGCGGCCCAUUAGCUAGUUGGUGAGGUAACGGCUCACCAAGGCAACGAUGGGUAGCUGGUCUGAGAGGACGAUCAGCCACACUGGGACUGAGACACGGCCCAGACUCCUACGGGAGGCAGCAGUGGGGAAUCUUGCGCAAUGCGCGAAAGCGUGACGCAGCAACGCCGCGUGGGGGAAGAAGGUUUUCGGAUUGUAAACCCCUUUCAGGAAGGACGAAGGUUCGGCGGUGAAUAGCCGACCGGACUGACUGUACUUUCACAAGAAGCUCCGGCUAACUACGUGCCAGCAGCCGCGGUAAUACGUAGGGAGCAAGCGUUGUCCGGAAUCAUUGGGCGUAAAGCGCGCGUAGGCGGCCCGGUAAGUCCGUUGUAAAAGUCGAAGGCUCAACCUUCGAAAGCCGAUGGAUACUGCCGGGCUAGAGUCCGGAAGAGGCGAGUAGAAUUCCUGGUGUAGCGGUGGAAUGCGCAGAUAUCAGGAGGAAUACCCAUAGCGAAGGCAGCUCGCUGGGACGGUACUGACGCUAAGGCGCGAAAGCGUGGGGAGCGAACAGGAUUAGAUACCCUAGUAGUCC